GCUGUGCGAGCCGCGGCGCGAGGUCGCCCACGCUCCCUUCUCCCCGCCCUGUGGGUCCCGGGCACCCGGAGUGUUCGGUGUCUGGCGCCCGUGCGUGAUGACGUACACGCGCGCCAAGACGUGGGGACGCAGGCGGGCCGUAGAGAGCGUUCAGCUUCCUGUAUAUCUUCCCAGAUGCCUAAAACCUGACCACAUUUUCCCAUCACUGGGUUGACAUCUAACCAUGCAGCGGAGAUCAAGAGGAAUUAAUACUGGACUUAUUCUGCUCCUUUCUCAAAUCUUCCAUGUUGGGGUCAACAAUAUUCCACCUGUCACCCUAGCAACUUUGGCUGUCAACAUCUGGUUCUUCUUGAAUCCUCUGAAGCCACUGUUGGGCUCCUGCCUUAGCGUGGAGACGUGUUACCAGCAGAAAGACUGGCAGCGCUUACUGCUUUCUCCUUUUCACCAUGCAGACGAUUGGCAUUUGUAUUUCAAUAUGGCAUCCAUGCUAUGGAAAGGAAUCAAUCUGGAAAGGAGACUGGGAAGUAAAUGGUUUGCCUAUGUCAUCGGCACAUUCUCACUACUCACCGGGGUGGUGUACCUGUUGUUGGAAUUUGCUCUUGCAGAAUUUAUGAAUGAACCUGGCUUCAGAAGGAACUGUGCUGUAGGUUUCUCAGGAGUUUUGUUUGCUUUGAAAGUUCUUAACAACCAUUAUUGCCCUGGAGGCUUUGCCAACGUUUUGGGCUUUCCUGUACCCAACAGAUUUGCUUGUUGGGCAGAACUUGUGGCUAUUCAUUUCAUCUCGCCAGGGGCUUCUUUCGCUGGGCAUCUGGCCGGGAUUCUCGUCGGACUAAUGUACACUCUUGGGCCUCUGAAGAAAAUCAUGGAAAUGUGUGCAGGCAAUUUUCCCUCCCCUGUUCAUUACCCAGGACAGCAGUACUACUUUAAUAGUUCAGGCUACUCCAGAUAUCAGGAUUAUUACCCCCACGGCAUGCCAGGUUACUCUGAAGAAGUACCCAGGGACUAUGACGCAUACACAGCAGGACUGAGUGAAGAGGAACAACUGGAGAGAGCGUUGAGAGCCAGCCUCUGGGACCGAGAACGCUCCCUUUGGAUCAUGGUUCUUGCUUGCAGCUCUGUGUUGGGAGAUACUCACUUCAGCGAGUGAAGUUUGACAUUCGAGACUGUGUCUAGAUGUCAAAUUGUGCCCGUAAAGAAACAUAAGCACGGGCAGAGUCCACCUGACUUUCGAGGGAAGGGAGACAGAUGAUAAAGUGUGACAAACGGCUCUGAUGUACGUGUGCUAACAUCUGGUAAGAUGUGUGCCGUGAUUGCUGCGUGGUUCUGCUUCUGUUUCGCCAUCAGAAUGGGCAGCACUCAACUCCUUUUCUGGAAGUUCUACCUGAAUUCCAGAUGUCCUGAGGUGGACUGUGUUGAGGACCUAAGACAGUGGUGAUGGCUAACUGAGCUCAUCUAUAACAGUCUUGAGAAUUUGGUUAACGUUUGUUGUUCUAGUUAUAAAAGCAAUAUAUAUUCACUGCGGAAAAUACAAAUGAGAAAAGAAGACAAAAAAAGAACCCAUAACCCCAGCACCCAGAGAAGAACCACGUAACAUUUGAGGUGUACCCUUGCAGCUACCCAUAACAUAGGCACCCAGAAGAAACCACAGCAAAUGUUGUGGUGAAAUUCUUUCCAAGUCAGCAAGAAUUAAGUGCCUCUCCGUGGGACGAGGAAGGUUCACAUACCCACACAGAACCCUAAGAAAUAAGCAUUUGCAAUUAUCUUUGUUAUUUCAGAUUGUGAAGCAGUGGCAUAGAGAAGUUAAAUGACUUGCCCAGGGUGGCAUUCUAAGAAGGGACACUAGUUGGGACACUUUUAUGUCUUACCAACAGAGCCUGUUUAGAAGAAGCAUUUCUAGGCUGCUGCUGAAUUGUUGAUGACAGGAGAGAGGUUUUCUCCGUAUAGUCAAGACCUAACUGACCUGGAGUUAGGUUUGUAUUCUUGGAGAUGGUUUGGCUGAUGUGAUGUUCCUGAAUUCAGAACCCUGAAAACGGAGGGGGGUGUGGCUACGCCCUUUAGAGAGACUGUAUUACUUCCAGAAUAACAGUGACAUUUCCCUCA